rnacentral:lncRNA from 1 species
AUGCCUGCGCAGUUCUUUCUCUUCCAGGCAGCACUGCUGCUGCUUCUUGCCGUACCCCUUCUCCUGCAUCCCCUGUGCAAUCUGUUCAUAGAUGUCAACAUUCCUAUGGUUGGUUUGGAGCUGUGCCUCCACAACCUCUUCUCCCCACAGGCCCAGAAGAUCCCAUAUCUGCUGUCUACUCCAGGCCGGAGUGCGUCUGGAGCAUGUAACUGUCGUGGUGCACAACAACAAUGGAGAGCUGCUAAGUGUGCUCACCAAGCUCAGCAAUCAGAAAAAGAGACUCCCUGAGUCACUGCAGCUUCUCUCUCCUCCAAGACACCUUGAAUGCUGGCUGGAUGGACUGCUUUAGCCAAGGGAGGUGCUCUGUAUUUCUGGACCCUUGCAUGUCAUUGGUCUGAGGGGAUCUCCAUGCCCUUAAAGAGUAGGUGGCUUUUCUGCUGAGCCAUCGGAGAAACCCAUUUAUACCUCCUCCCUGAGCCAGCUGCCUGUGGCUUGCCAGUUGAUCCUGUCCUUCCACCAGCGCUGUCUGUUUUUCUCCUUGGGACUUAGGUGAGCCCUUUGCAUGUCUCUUACUGACCCAGCUUGCUGUUACAGGAGUCGGGGAAUGGAACUUGCUUUUUGAGUUUGAGAUAAGUGCUGAUGUGUCUGGACUCUCGCUGGUACAGCUGAGGGGGGAAAGCUUUAAAGCUCCAAUUAACCUGACACCCCAUCUCCAGUAAGUCAGUCAGCCUGAGCUUUCUCAGGUAUGUCUGUGGUAUUUAUUGAUCACAUCUGAAAUGGUCCCUCCUGUUUACUGCAGGUAUGCCCUCAAUAUUUGAUUCGCUCAGUCCCCCUGUCAAUUGCUUUUACUCACGUAACCAGGUUAAAGGAAAAGCAAAGACCCACAAUGCUUAAAUCUGACCUUGGAUCUAGUUCCCAAGGCUAUAGGGGCCAAAUCAUCAGGUGGUAUAAAUCAGCAUAACUCCAUCAGCUACUCUGGUUUACCCCAGUUGAUGAGCUGGUGCUAGGGGUUUCUUCCACGCUGAACAGAUCUGCAGAGUAUGGAACCCUCUAGCUUGGUCUGCCAGUAGAGAGUCCUGAUUUGCUGUUGAUUUUUGCAUGCUAUGUGCUAUACAGGCAAGAUAAGGCUGCA